rnacentral:ncRNA from 1 species
CUCUUAUCAAGAGCGGCGGAGGGAAUAGGCCCUGUGAUGCCCGGCAACCAUCAAGCUAGAUUUCUAGCAUGAAAGGUGCUAAAUCCUACAGGUCAAUUAUGAUCUGGAAGAUAAGGG